rnacentral:rRNA from 1 species
GACGAACGCUGGCGGCGUGCCUAAUACAUGCAAGUAGAACGCUGAAGGAGGAGCUUGCUUCUCUGGAUGAGUUGCGAACGGGUGAGUAACGCGUAGGUAACCUGCCUGGUAGUGGGGGAUAACUAUUGGAAACGAUAGCUAAUACCGCAUAAUAGCAGUUGUUGCAUGAUAACUGUUUGAAAGGUGCAAUUGCACCGCUACCAGAUGGACCUGCGUUGUAUUAGCUAGUUGGUGGGGUAACGGCUCACCAAGGCGACGAUACAUAGCCGACCUGAGAGGGUGAUCGGCCAAACUGGGACUGAGACACGGCCCAGACUCCUACGGGAGGCAGCAGUAGGGAAUCUUCGGCAAUGGACGGAAGUCUGACCGAGCAACGCCGCGUGAGUGAAGAAGGUUUUCGGAUCGUAAAGCUCUGUUGUAAGAGAAGAACGAGUGUGAGAGUGGAAAGUUCACACUGUGACGGUAUCUUACCAGAAAGGGACGGCUAACUACGUG